rnacentral:other from 1 species
GGUUCUCUGAGAUGUUUGCAAGCGGGCCAGUCCCCUGAGCCGAUAUUUCAUACCACAAGUGUGGCGCUCCCGCGGUUGGUAGGCAUGCUCGGUUCGUCCGAAGCUAACCCAAAACUGACGACAUUCACCUUCGAACAAGGUUCAAGGGUUACAGCCACUACGGCGGCAUCUCGGAAUUUCC